GAUGAACGCUGGCGGCGUGCCUAAUACAUGCAAGUCGAGCGAACAGACGAGGAGCUCGCUCCUCUGACGUUAGCGGCGGACGGGUGAGUAACACGUGGAUAACCUACCUAUAAGACUGGGAUAACUUCGGGAAACCGGAGCCAAUACCGGAUAAUAUAUUGAACCGCAUGGUUCAAUAGUGAAAGACGGUUUUGCUGUCACUUAUAGAUGGAUCCGCGCCGCAUUAGCUAGUUGGUAAGGUAACGGCUUACCAAGGCAACGAUGCGUAGCCGACCUGAGAGGGUGAUCAGCCACACUGGAACUGAGACACGGUCCAGACUCCUACGGGAGGCAGCAGUAGGGAAUCUUCCGCAAUGGGCGAAAGCCUGACGGAGCAACGCCGCGUGAGUGAUGAAGGUCUUCGGAUCGUAAAACUCUGUUAUUAGGGAAGAACGAAUGUGUAAGUAACUAUGCACGUCUUGACGGUACCUAAUCAGAAAGCCACGGCUAACUACGUG
rnacentral:rRNA from 1 species